UAUCUCUGUAGAGUCUGCAUAUCAAUAAGCGGAGGAAAAGAAACUAACAAGGAUUCCCUUAGUAACGGCGAGUGAAGCGGGAAGAGCUCAAAUUUGAAAUCUUCAAGGUUCUACCUUGACGAAUUGUAGUUUAAAGAAGUGUUUUCUGUUAGAUGAGUAGCAAAAGUUCCUUGGAAUGGGACAUCAUAGAGGGUGAGAAUUCCGUAUUUGGUUAUUCAUUCUAGCUUUGUGAUACACUUUCAAAGAGUCGGAUUGUUUGGGAAUGCAGUCCAAAAUGGGUGGUAAAUUUCAUCUAAAGCUAAAUAUUGGCGAGAGACCGAUAGCGAACAAGUACCGUGAGGGAAAGAUGAAAAGAACUUUGAAAAGAGAGUUAAACAGUACGUGAAAUUGUCAAAAGGGAAGCGUUUGACACCAGUGUUGUUUUCUCGAAAAUCAAUUACGAAUGGCUUGAUUUUGUGUUGUAUUGACCUUAUCAGCUUUCUUCACUUUUUUCGAGUCUUUCUUAAUGCACUUUUCGGUUAACAAGUCAACAUCAAUUUCUUUUGUUGUAAAAGAGUAUUCGGAAGGUGGCUUUCUUUUCGGAGAAAGUGUUUAUAGCCCUAUACUUCUACAAAUCGGAGAGAUUGAGGUCUGCAGCGUAGAUCCUUCGGGGUUAGAUACACUUGUGCUAAGUUGUAGCUUUUCAUAGACAACUUGUUGACUAUGUUUAGUCAUGCGGCUUACUCGCUUGUGCUAUUUUACCUACGCUUAGGAUGUUGACUGAUAUGUAGUCGUA
rnacentral:rRNA from 1 species